rnacentral:tRNA from 1 species
GGUUCCAUAGUGUCAUGGUUAGCACGUCUGCUUUACAUGCAGAAGGUCCUGGGUUCACAUCCCAGGUGGAGCCA